UCACGUCUUACGACGGCAGUUUCACUAGAGUUCCCAGCGUUACCUGAUGGCAACUAGUGAUGGGGGUUGCGCUCGUUGCGGGACUUAACCCAACACCUCACGACACGAGCUGACGACAGCCAUGCAGCACCUGUGCAAUUGUUCCGACCGAAGCCGGAAAGACCGUAUUUCUACAGCUGUCAAAAGCAUGUCAAAUCUAGGUAAGGUUCCUCGCGUAGUGUCGAAUUAAACCACAUGUUCCACCGCUUGUGCGGGCCCCCGUCAAUUUCUUUGAGUUUUAGUCUUGCGACCGUAGUCCCCAGGCGGAUCACUUAUCGCGUUAGCUUCGAUACUAAUCCUAUAAAUAGAACUAACAUCUAGUGAUCAUCGUUUACAGCGUGGACUAC
rnacentral:misc_RNA from 1 species